rnacentral:rRNA from 1 species
GACGAACGCUGGCGGCGUGCUUAACACAUGCAAGUCGAACGAAGUGGCGAACGGGUGAGUAACGCGUAAUCAACCUGCCCUUAAGAGGGGGUCACCAGUUGGAAACGACUCCUAAUACCGCAUACUGAAGGAGGGGAUUGCGUCUGAUUAGCUAGUUGGAGGGGUAAAGGCCCACCGGGGCGAGGAUCAGUAGCCGGUGUUAGAGGAUGAACGGCCACAUUGGGACUGAGACACGGCCCAGAAUCCUACGGGAGGCAGCAGUGGGGAAUCUUCCGCAAUGGACGAAAGUCUGACGGAGCAACGCCGCGUGAGUGAUGACGGCCUUCGGGUUGUAAAGCUCUGUUAAUCAGGACGCGGUACCGGAAUAGAACGCCACGGCUAACUACGUGCCAGCAGCCGCGGUAAUAC